rnacentral:ribozyme from 14 species
GAAAAAGAAAAAAAGAAAAAAAAAAGAAAAAAAAAAAAAGGAGUACUCGUGU